rnacentral:rRNA from 1 species
UACAGAGGGUGCAAGCGUUAAUCGGAAUUACUGGGCGUAAAGCGCGCGUAGGUGGUUCGUUAAGUUGGAUGUGAAAUCCCCGGGCUCAACCUGGGAACUGCAUUCAAAACUGUCGAGCUAGAGUAUGGUAGAGGGUGGUGGAAUUUCCUGUGUAGCGGUGAAAUGCGUUGAUAUCCAGCGGAACUCCGGUGGCGAAGGCGAGGUGCUGGACCCUUUCUGACGCUGAGGCGCGAAAGCCAGGGGAGCAAACGGG